GCCUUGCUGAGUAGCUACACUUAGAACAUCAGAAGAGACAUUCAACCAAACCUGCUCAGCUGAGAGGGGACGUUAUUUUUCUUAGCCUGAUUAAAACUUCUUCUUUGUCUUUACUAACACCUGUUUGACUCAAGCACCUGAAUAAACUUUGAGGAGGAAAGAUAGCUUUGUUAAAGACUCAAGUGGACCUCAAAAGAUCAGGUUCCACUUCUGGGACCCUCAGCAAAUCCAGGGGAAGCCGGGCUUGACAUUCCUAUUGAGAUCUGUGGAGAAAAAGCAGGAAAACCCAAUCAUUUCUUUCAAAAACAAUUAGGUGAAAAGCCCCAACCCAAACAAACAAAUUCUCAAAAGUUAAGGUUUGUACAAUUUAAAAGAAGCAAUCAUAACAAAACAUAAAUUACUAGCAUUAUUUUUGGAGUGUUGUUACAGAAAUAUGAAAUGUACUGGCUGUUUUCUCAAGUGUAGUGACCUCUGUUUGUGUGGACCGUGUUGUCUGUUGGGGUAUUGUGAACAAUUGCCCCAGUAUUCUUGACCUAGAUCUGGCUGCAAAUACACCACUGAACAGACAUCAAAGCUGGUCUGAGGAACAUGUAGUAGCUGAAGCACUGGAAAUGAAAUUAUUGAGGAAACAGCUGCACCCCUGAAAGCAUCACAGAUGAAAAGUGGCUUUGGGAAAUAUUCCUUUUGGUGAGGCUAUAAGACACAUUACAGGGCUGGAUGCAUCAGUACAGUCUUCACGGGCUGGGAUAAGAAUACCAUUGAAGGCUCCUAGAAUUGCUCAGAUGAUUGAAAGGGAAGGGUGAAACAAUAAGAUAAGCCAUUUUCUUGAGGAUGGUAGAGAACAGAGAGGGAAAUGCAGCCAGUCUGGGGAGGAACCACUCUCACAUCCAAGCAGGAGGAUAGCUGGCUCAUAAAAUGCUGAAUGUCCUUGGGGAUCUCCAGGUUACUAGGUCCCCUUACCAUCCUUUAUCAACAGCAUGGUGAGGAACUUCUGCUCAAGAGCGAUGUCUGGGCACUGCACCUAGGCAUCUGGCAAUUGGACAGGGGUGAAAUCUCCCAUCCAGAUGGCUCUAGAGGCUGAGAAUUUGGUAAGGAUUUUGUGAGGUAGUCACAGAGGAUUCCAGGUAGUCACUCCACAACUCUGCUUCUCCCAACCUGCUUGUUUGUCUUCUGUCUUCCUUCUGUGGUGGAGAAAGCACAGACCACAAUG